rnacentral:rRNA from 1 species
UACGAGGGGUGCAAGCGUUGCUCGGAAUUAUUGGGCGUAAAGGGUAGGUAGGUGGUCUCGUUUGUCAGAGGUGAAAGCCUUGGGCUUAACUCAAGAAGUGCCCCUGAAACGGCGAGACUCGAGUACUGGAGAGGCUAGUGGAAUUCCCGGUGUAGCGGUGAAAUGCGUAGAGAUCGGGAGGAACACCAGAGGCGAAGGCGGGUCUCUGGACAGUUCCUGACGCUGAGGCACGAAGGCCAGGGGAGCAAACGGG